GUCCGUAGGUGGUUUGUCAAGUCUGUCGUCAAAGAAUGGAGCUUAACUCCAUAAAGGCGGUGGAAACUGAGAGACUAGAGUUCGGUAGGGGUAGCGGGAAUUCCCAGUGUAGCGGUGAAAUGCGUAGAUAUUGGGAAGAACAUCGGUGGCGAAAGCGCGCUACUGGGCCGAAACUGACACUGAGGGACGAAAGCUAGGGUAGCGAAAG
rnacentral:rRNA from 1 species